GUUCAAGCGUUAACGUCCAAGGUUAGGAUUCCCCAGAUCACCUCCUCGACGACAGAGGAGCAGCGAGCGGCCAGCUGGAGCGUGACGCAGCGAGGCCACGUUACGGCCGUCACUCUGCUCCCCGAGGUGAAUUAUAUAAACAGCAGAAACACUUGACUACCCUGGAUGUGUUCAACCAGACUCACUCUUGCUGCAGCCUGGUCGGGAUGCUCCCUGGUACCAGAGGCUCCCGGUACCAGAGGCCUCUGAUCAUCAGACCUUCAGCAUCGCCUCCUAGGACUCCGGCUUCAUACGUCACGGAUGGAUUAGCCACGGAGCUAGCUGCUAACAGGAGAGCUAGCUUCUGACAGGAGAGCUAGCUUCUGACAGGAGAGCUAGAUGCCAACAGCAGAGUUAGAUGCUAACAGGAGAGCUAGCUGCUAGCAGAAGAGCUGGCUGCUAAGAGGAGGGCUAGCUGUCAGCGUUAGCAUCACUCUUAGCUUAAACGUCGGAGACACGGACCGACGUGUCGUCGUACGGAC
ensembl:lncRNA